AUGGGGGAAAAACCCAAAAUUUGGGAUCUGGGACCACAAAAAUGGGGGAAAAACCCCAAAAAUGGGGAAAAACACCCAAAAUUUGGGAAAAAACCCCAAAAUUUGGGGAUAAAACCCCAAAAUUUGGGAUCUGAGACCCCAAAAAUGGGGAAAAAACCCCAAAAUUUGGGGAAAAAGCCCCAAAAAAUGGGGAAAAAACCCCAAAAUUUGGGGAAAAAAUCCAAAAAUUUGGGGAAAAAACCCCAAAAUUUGGGAUCUGGGACCCCAAAAAUGGGGGAAAAACCCCAAAAUUUGGGGAAAAAACCCAAAAUUUGGGGAAAAACCCCAAAAAUUUGGGAAAAGGAAACAAAAAAUGGGGAAAAAACACCCAAAUUUGGGAAAAAACCCAAAAAAAUGGGGGGAAAACCCCAAAAUUUGGGAUCUGGGACCACAAAAAUGGGGGAAAAACCCCAAAAUUUGGGAAAAGGAACCCAAAAAUGGGGAAAAAACCCCAAAUUUGGGAAAAAAACCCCAAAAUUUGGGAUUUGGGACCACAAAAAUGGGGAAAAAACGCCAAAAAUGGGGAAAAAACCCCAAAAUUUGGGGAAAAAACCCCAAAAUUUGGGAUCUGGGACCCCAAAAAUGGGGGAAAAACCCCAAAAUUUGGGGAAAAAACCCAAAAUUUGGGGAAAAACCCCAAAAAUUUGGGAAAAGGAAACAAAAAAUGGGGAAAAAACACCCAAAUUUGGGAAAAAACCCAAAAAAAUGGGGGGAAAACCCCAAAAUUUGGGAUCUGGGACCACAAAAAUGGGGGAAAAACCCCAAAAUUUGGGAAAAGGAACCCAAAAAUGGGGAAAAAACCCCAAAUUUGGGAAAAAAACCCCAAAAUUUGGGAUUUGGGACCACAAAAAUGGGGAAAAAACGCCAAAAAUGGGGAAAAAACCCCAAAAUUUGGGGAAAAAACCCCAAAAUUUGGGAAAAGAAAACAAAAAAUGGGGAAAAAAACCCCAAAAUUUGGGAAAAGGAGCCCAAAAAUGGGGAAAAACCCCCAAAUUUGGGAAAAAAAACCCAAAAUUUGGGAUCUGGGACCCCAAAAAUGGGGAAAAAACCCCAAAAUUUGGGGAAAAAAUCCAAAAAUUUGGGGAAAAAACCCCAAAAUUUGGGAUCUGA
rnacentral:lncRNA from 1 species